rnacentral:rRNA from 1 species
AUGAGUUGUUUCCUUCGUGGACACAGACAUAAGUGCCAUGGGGCAUUGAGCGUAACAAACAAUAAUUCUGAAACAGUUUCUAGGAUUGGCAAACGUCUUCGGUACCUGACGAAGCACCCUAACUCAGACAUACAGGCGGUGGCUGCAGACCUUUUUGGGUACUGGAAGAAGGUUGUUAUUGAAGAGACAGGAAAGAAAAACGGCACACCAGCGAAUGGAAAAUCAGAUAACUCUGCAGCUAAGGCUGAGAAACCUCAGCCCAUGAAGGUUGAAAAGAAGUCAGCGCACGUGAAGGUUGAGAAGAACUCUAUGUCGACAACUGUGAAGUCUGAAAAGAAUGCAACUGUGAAGACUGAAAAGAAUUCUAUGUCGGCAAGCGUGAAGAUUGAGAAGACUGCGAAUAAUGAUUCCAAAGUCCAAGUUAAGGUUGAGAAGGUUUCAAAGGAAGUUAGCAGAACAUCUGAAACAAAGAAACCAUCUUCUGUUCCAAAUGGUCCCCCAAAGCUGACAUCCCUCGUCAGAUGCAACGAUGCUGCUCGAGAUAAAUACAGGGAGCUUCUUGUUGACGCGUUCGUCAAGGUUUCCAAGGAAACUAGCGAGGAUGACAGAGAGGAAAUAAGAGAUCUACUGGACCAGGUAAAUGCAUGCGACCCAUAUAGAGUUGCUGUGACAGUGGAGUCGGCCUUGUUUGAGAGGAUCGGGCGUUCCACUGGGACCCACAAGGUGAAAUACAGGUCGAUACUGUUCAACCUAAAGGCGGACAACAACCCUGACUUCCGGCGGAGGGUGCUGCUGGGCGAGGUGAGGCCCGGGAGCCUGGUGGAUAUGCCAGCGGACGAGAUGGCGAGCGACGCUCGGAAGCUGGAGAACCAGCAGAUCAAGGAGAAGGCCCUGUUUGACUGCGAGCGCGCGUCGGCGCCCAAGGCGUCGACGGACCAGUUCAAGUGCGGGCGGUGUGGGCAGCGCAAGACGACCUACUACCAGCUGCAGACGCGGAGUGCCGACGAGCCCAUGACGACGUUUGUGACGUGCGUCAACUGCAACAACCACUGGAAGUUCUGCUGA